GUGUGACUUCUCCCCAGAUUUUUGUAUACCUGACUCUGUUUCAGCAUCUGCUUCCCAAAGAAUGCAGUGUGAAGCAGGAGCUUAUGUGAGAAGAAACGCAGAGAGACAGUUCAGUCACUGCAGUCUUCAUGCCCAUCAGUUUCUUGUGAGAAGAAAACAAGACUGGCAACGCCUGCUUCCUCCUCUGAGCUGUCAAGUAGGAAGUCCGGGCUACUCUGCUAGAAAGAGAAGUCAUGUGCAGGAGCACUGAGGCAUCCCAGGUGUGACACUCUUCCACCUAGAGCAUUCCGUCUCUCAUCCUCUGCCAUGUAGCAAACUGCUAUGCAUCCUUCAGCUGCAAGGGAUUGAAUGCUAUCAACAACCAUACAAGUGGAGAAGCAGAUGCUUCCCUAGCUGAGCCUCAGGCUUUUUGAUGGAAUUGCUACAACUUGGUGCAUGCCUGCUCCUAAAAGAAAUACUCAGGAAUUGUCUCAUAAAGUCCUCACCUACUGGCAAAAACAAGAUGUUCUACUCCCAGGUUGACUUUUUCAAGCCCCAAGAUGUUGAGUCAGCCAUUCUCCAAGGAUCUCGAUUUCCUUUUAAUGGAAAAUAACAUUAAACACCAAAUAUAAGCCUCAGGCUGUCCCACAUGCGUAUUGGGGACAAGAUGAAACCUGCUUCCAGGCUACUUUGGCAGCAGAACUGAAAAAGGCCUUUUUUUCCAGAUAUAUGAUUUCUCAUCGACAGGGUUGCACAGCCCUCUUUAUUGUUCGUGUAAAUGACACCCUUGGAUCUGAACAAUACACACCAGGACAAUUGUGUGCAACAGUUCUACACACUGAUAUUUCUAAUUA
rnacentral:antisense_RNA from 1 species